GACGAACGCUGGCGGCGUGCUUAACACAUGCAAGUCGAACGGAAAGGCCCUGCUUUUGUGGGGUGCUCGAGUGGCGAACGGGUGAGUAACACGUGAGUAACCUGCCCUUGACUUUGGGAUAACUUCAGGAAACUGGGGCUAAUACCGGAUAGGAGCUCCUGCUGCAUGGUGGGGGUUGGAAAGUUUCGGCGGUUGGGGAUGGACUCGCGGCUUAUCAGCUUGUUGGUGGGGUAGUGGCUUACCAAGGCUUUGACGGGUAGCCGGCCUGAGAGGGUGACCGGCCACAUUGGGACUGAGAUACGGCCCAGACUCCUACGGGAGGCAGCAGUGGGGAAUAUUGCACAAUGGGCGGAAGCCUGAUGCAGCAACGCCGCGUGCGGGAUGACGGCCUUCGGGUUGUAAACCGCUUUCGCCUGUGACGAAGCGUGAGUGACGGUAAUGGGUAAAGAAGCACCGGCUAACUACGUGCCAGCAGCCGCGGUGAUACGUAGGGUGCGAGCGUUGUCCGGAUUUAUUGGGCGUAAAGGGCUCGUAGGUGGUUGAUCGCGUCGGAAGUGUAAUCUUGGGGCUUAACCCUGAGCGUGCUUUCGAUACGGGUUGACUUGAGGAAGGUAGGGGAGAAUGGAAUUCCUGGUGGAGCGGUGGAAUGCGCAGAUAUCAGGGGGAACACCAGUGGCGAAGGCGGUUCUCUGGGCCUUUCCUGACGCUGAGGAGCGAAAGCGUGGGGAGCGAACAGGCUUAGACACCCUGGUAGUCCACGCUGUAAACGGUGGGUACUAGGUGUGGGGUCCAUUCCACGGGUUCCGUGCCGUAGCUAAUGCUUUAAGUACCCCGCCUGGGGAGUACGGCCGCAAGGCUAAAACUCAAAGGAAUUGACGGGGCCCCGCACAAGCGGCGGAGCAUGCGGAUUAAUUCGAUGCAACGCGUAGAACCUUACCUGGGUUUGACAUGGAUCGGGAGUGCUCAGAGAUGGGUGUGCCUCUUUUGGGGUCGGUUCACAGGUGGUGCAUGGCUGUCGUCAGCUCGUGUCGUGAGAUGUUGGGUUAAGUCCCGCAACGAGCGCAACCCUUGUUCACUGUUGCCAGCACGUUAUGGUGGGGACUCAGUGGAGACCGCCGGGGUCAACUCGGAGGAAGGUGGGGAUGACGUCAAGUCAUCAUGCCCCUUAUGUCCAGGGCUUCACGCAUGCUACAAUGGCUGGUACAGAGAGUGGCGAGCCUGUGAGGGUGAGCGAAUCUCGGAAAGCCGGUCUCAGUUCGGAUUGGGGUCUGCAACUCGACCUCAUGAAGUCGGAGUCGCUAGUAAUCGCAAAUCAGCAACGCUGCGGUGAAUACGUUCCCGGG
rnacentral:rRNA from 1 species